rnacentral:rRNA from 1 species
GUUGGUGGCCACAGCGCAGGGGACACACCCGAUCCCAUCCCGAACUCGGAAGUUAAGCCCUGCCGCGCGGAUGGUACUGCUGGGGCAACCCGGUGGGAGAGUACGUCGCCGCCAGCC